UCAAGAGGAGGUAGCCCUUAAUUUUAGUGCUAAAGGAGUUCACAAAAUCCCAAGACUUCAUAUCCUCCUCUCUGAUGGGAUGUGCAUGUCUGCAUCUCUAUGAUGUAAGAGCUUCCAUUCACUCUUCUUUGUGAAUGCAGUCUACAAGCUGACCUAGAAGGAAGAGCCCUCUGCAGCCCUCACUUGGAAUGGAGCCAGGGCUCCAUUUCCCUGGAACAUAAUCCCAGCUGACUGUCUUUGCUGGAUGAGCACAGCAAAAGAAUUAAAAACUGAAGUCUGGAACCACAUAAACCCCUUAGAAGCAAAGUGGAAUGUGUAACCAGGAUCCUGGCCCCAAAUUGGCCCAGCCCAGGAAAGACCAGGGGAACACGCAUUCUACCCCACCUUCUGCCAUGCUCAAGGGCAUAAAAUCUCUUUAUGUUCUCCAAGGCCAAGAGUAAAUGCCAUCUUCUAAGACUA